AAGAAAUAAAAAAAAUUAUCUACAUUACGGUGAAACAGUUCUGAAGACUUGUAAAUAUUUCUUAUAAUACAUUCCGGAAACUCUAUUUCUUAACGUUUUUUUCAAGGUUCGGAGAUAUUAUUCUUAACUGCACUAUAACUAGUGCAGCCAUAUUUUUCUCUUAGUCAUACUUAAUCGGAAAAAAAUAAAAGUCAAUUUACAGUCAAUUAUCACCAGUUAAUAGGUGUUUAAGUCGGUAGAAUAUACUUUCAAAAUUUUUAUCAAAAUUUAUAACCAUAUUGUUCAAGAAAUUUUAAUACGUUGUCAAAUAAUUUUCUCAAGACCUAUACGUUUCCUAGAAGGUUCCAAAACAAUCGAAGAAAUUAAGAAAUUUGUAAAAUUUCUGCAACUCUACAUAAACGUUUUCUACUGGGUUCUAUAUAUUGUUUGCUACAACACUACUCUCGUCCAUAAUUUGUAAAUUAAGAAAAGUUUUGCUUAGUAAAACAAAUACAUAAUACGUUUAUUUCA